rnacentral:rRNA from 1 species
CUAUGGCGAAUAAAAUUCGAGGGGGAAGGGNGAUAAUGUCUUUGGCUGCCUAUNUGUCUUGACCAAAUUACGUGCCAGCAGUCGCGGUAAUACGUAGAAGACUAGUGUUAUUCAUGUUUAAUCGGUUUAAAGGGUACCUAGACGGUAGAUCAAGCUUUUUCAUAUAAAUUAUGAUAAUUAAAGGGACUAAUUUACUAGAGUUACUUACGAGGGGGUAUUAAAGUACUGCUGGUGUAGAGAUGAAAUUCUGUCAUACCUCUUUUCGAAAGAAAAAUCAUGGCACAGGUAUAGGCGAAGGCAUCCCCUUAUGUGAUAACUGACGUUGAGGGACGAAGGCUUUGUGUAACAAACAGGAUUAGAUACCCUAGUAGUUGAAGCAGAAAAUGAUGAAUGUCAUAGAUUAGAUAUAUAAGUUUAUUCUAUAAAUGAAAGUGUAAGCAUUCCACCUCAUGAGUAAUUUGGCAACAUUGGAAUUGAAAUCAUUAGACCGUUUCUGAAACCAGUAGUGAAGUAUGUUGUUUAAUUUGAUAGUCCGCAAAAAACCUUACCACAAUUUGAAUAUUUAUAUUUUUUUUUU